AGCUACAUCCGUCACCUGACACGGCCCUACCAGGAACAGCCGCGCUCCCGCGGAUUCUGGUGCUGCUCGCGUCCCCGCUCCCCUAUUCCCCUUAUUUUAUUCCUGGCUCCCCUCGUCGAAAGUCUUCCAUUCUUCAAACUAGAUUAUUUAAAAAUGAAAAAGGAAGAAAGGAAAGCGAGGUCAUCUCAUUGCUCUAUCCGCCAAUCAGGAGGCUGAAUGUCAGUUUUGAACUAAAAGCCGCUCCGCUCCUCUUCUAGAUUUGGAAAACAAGCGAAAUUAAACUAAACCGCUGCACGCCUCUGACGCGACAUCUGGACACGGCGCGGCGCUGGCGCUGCCGGAGCUGUCGACCCGGCCUGGCGCCGGACUAGUGUCCCUUUUGAUGAGAAGAAUAAGCCUCAUUCUGAUUCAACAGCAGAGAUCAAAGAAAAGACUUCUGUUUUCUGGCCACCAGAUAUAUGUUAUCUGUGCUUAAAGAAUUGAAAAACACACAUCAAAGGAGAAUUUUCUUGGAAAGAGAGGGUUCAAGCAUCACUGUUAGGUGUGCUGGAAUCCUUUCCCGAGUCAGUACUGCUUUCUAGAAGAAAACCGGGGAGAUCUAUUUGGAAUGUAUCUAACUCCAAAGAAACCAUCAGAGGUAACAGGUGGAGAACUUCAGUAGAGGAAGUGGCAGGAAUUUGGGAAUGAGGAGCACAGUGAUUAAACUGGGGCCAUUCAUAUGAGAGUUUAAGAACUCAGACCAGUGACUUAGAUUGGCUUCUCUCACAUGGCAAGAAACAUUGCUGCUAGCACUUCCCGAGUUCUACGUUCUACAACAUCCACCACUGGAUCUUAACAUAGACGUAAGAUCAAAUGCAAUAGCAUGUCAAACAAUGUGUAACUCCAGUUAUACAAACAUUACUGUAUCUCAUUGGGGAUACGAAGCUCUACACACUUGAAGAUGGUGAAGGAAUAUAAAAAUCUAUGUCUCACAGUCCAGACUUGGAGUACAAGUAAUAAGAAGAAUAAAACUUAAUCCCUUAAGUAGAUUCACCAUAAGUUAGCUCAGAGCAAUUCCAGUGCAAGUAUGGUCUGUGAUCCAGUAGUAUCUUACAGACAGCAAGUUGAACAUUGUGGGAUGCAUGAGCUAUUGAGGCCUUUGCAGCUUUCUGCUACAUGGAGGCUAGGGCCAGAGUCAAGAUUUAUGCUUUGCAGCACACUGGUCAGCUGUUUUUGCAAAUCAGAUUAAAUGAUUUUUAAAUGAGGCUGAGAGCAUGGGAGAUACUAAUGUGUGUUUCCUUGUGAGCUACUGCAUAAGUUAGGAAAUUGAAAUACAGAAAGAUGAAAAGUGAUUUGCCCAAGCAUAUAGAUCAAAGCUGUGGCAGAACCAGGACUGGAACCUAUAUCUCUCUACUAAUGGUUUUUUUAAAAAAAUAACCUUGUUUCAAAAAUAUUAAAAAGUCACAAGAAAGGUAAACAUGUGGAUAAACAAAAUGAAGAAAAUAAAAAUUAUCCAGUAAUAACAUA
rnacentral:lncRNA from 1 species